CAAGCACGCAGGUCAGCAGUGGCCUGGCAUCUUGUGCACACGCGCACACGCACGUGCACACACGCCCACCGGGGGACAGGAUGCCCACCCCUCGGGCUCUGCACUCCGCCCCUCUGCCCACCACCCACACGGCGUACGCCUCUUCGCCCCGCACCCGCCAAGCCGCGCGGCUCUCGCUCACCGCGUCCCACCUACGGGUCUCCGUCCCUUUUGUCCUUCGCCGUCUCUCGGGAUGAGCACAAAGGGAGCCCGUCAGACUCCGCUCAGGCCUCUCACCCGUGGAUGGCAGCUCCGCUUCUGGAGGGUGGCGCCAACGCGGCCGGCAGACAGCGCGGGAGGCCCGGCCCAGCCGCGGGGUGAGGCCCCUGCAGGCGGGGGCUCAGAGGCCCGGGGGGGUAGCCCUCAGAUCCCUCCAACCCUGCAGACCCUCAUGGGUCCCCACCCCGGGCGGAUCUGUGCUCCCUCGGCCUGGCAAGACCACCCCUGCUUAUUGCAUUUCUGACAGACCUUCUAUCCACACAAGGACGUCCACGUCGAUGGACUGAAAUAAAAAAUGGGCCUUCUUAUGAAGCUAUAAUAAU
rnacentral:lncRNA from 12 species